CCGCAUCUACCUAGGCCGCAUCAGAUUUGUUGGGCCCUGAAACACUUAAACGGGCCUUGGUGAGGUGCGGUGAAAGGGGCCUGGCGGCGCCGUGGUGCGAGAAGUUGGACAGGCGUUCUAUCUUCUCCUCCCCUCGUUCCUCGCCCGCCUGCGCCGCCGAGGAGUACUUCAUUGCCAGACCUGAAAAAAUGGGAUGCGACUCACACUCCCGACUAAGCAGCAAAGGAGACGGCGCCGGAUCCAGCGGAAUUUGCAUGGCGUCCAGGCUGCUGAGUGGGCUCCCUCCACACGGGUAAACAAUUUGUACAUCCUGAAACUGCCUGCUGCGUCCCGGCAGAUUGAAGCCGAUCCGGUGGCGUAGGAAGUUCGAACAAUGGUGGCUGAAGAGCGAUGCUCGCCGGGGGGUGAAACUUCGAGAUCCUCGAGCCGCUAGGGUUCUCGGCUAGGUUUCCUCUAUUAGCUCUCUAUCUUCAUCUUUUCUGCAAAAUUUUCUCUACAAUCCUCUCUUCCGC